rnacentral:rRNA from 1 species
AGAGUUUGAUCAUGGCUCAGAGCGAACGCUGGCGGCAGGCCUAACACAUGCAAGUCGAACGGACCCUUCGGGGUUAGUGGCGGACGGGUGAGUAACACGUGGGAACGUGCCUUUAGGUUCGGAAUAAGCUCGGGAAACUGGGUCUAAUACCGAAUGUGCCCUUCGGGGGAAAGAUUUAUCGCCUUUAGAGCGGCCCGCGUCUGAUUAGCUAGUUGGUGGUGUAAUGGACCACCAAGGCGACGAUCAGUAGCUGGUCUGAGAGGAUGACCAGCCACAUUGGGACUGAGACACGGCCCAAACUCCUACGGGAGGCAGCAGUGGGGAAUCUUGCGCAAUGGGCGAAAGCCUGACGCAGCCAUGCCGCGUGUAUGAUGAAGGUCUUAGGAUUGUAAAAUACUUUCACCGGUGAAGAUAACGACUGUAGCCGGAGAAGAAGCCCCGGCUAACUUCGUGCCAGCAGCCGCGGUAAUACGAAGGGGGCUGGCGUUGCUCGGAAUUACUGGGCGUAAAGGGAGCGUAGGCGGACAUUUAAGUCAGGGGUGAAAUCCCAGAGCUCAACUCUGGAACUGCCUUUGAUACUGGGUGUCUUGAGUGUGAUAGAGGUAUGUGGAACUCCGAGUGUAGAGGUGAAAUUCGUAGAUAUUCGGAAGAACACCAGUGGCGAAGGCGACAUACUGGAUCAUUACUGACGCUGAGGCUCGAAAGCGUGGGGAGCAAACAGGAUUAGAUACCCUGGUAGUCC